GACGGGGGGGGCAAGUGUUCUUCGGAAUGACUGGGCGUAAAGGGCACGUAGGCGGUGAAUCGGGUUGAAAGUGAAAGUCGCCAAAAAGUGGCGGAAUGCUCUCGAAACCAAUUCACUUGAGUGAGACAGAGGAGAGUGGAAUUUCGUGUGUAGGGGUGAAAUCCGUAAAUAUACGAAGGAACGCCAAAAGCGAAGGCAGCUCUCCGGGUCCCUACAGACGCUGGGGUGCGAAAGCAUGGGGAGCGAACAGG
rnacentral:rRNA from 1 species